UUGAGCCGGUUGCUCGGAAACGGGCAUGGCCGGUUCUAAGGGGGCUCCGGCGCGGCAACGCGCUGGAGCUACCCGAC
rnacentral:ncRNA from 1 species